UGGGGAAUAUUGGGCAAUGGGGGCAACCCUGACCCAGCAACGCCGCGUGAAGGAAGAAGGCUUUCGGGUUGUAAACUUCUUUGACGAGGGACGAAGAAAUGACGGUACCUCGAAAACAAGCCACGGCUAACUACGUGCCAGCAGCCGCGGUAAUACGUAGGUGGCAAGCGUUGUCCGGAAUUACUGGGUGUAAAGGGCGAGUAGGCGGGAUAGCAAGUCAGAUGUGAAAUACCAUGGCUCAACUGUGGGGCUGCAUUUGAAACUGUUAUUCUUGAGUGAUGGAGAGGCAGGCGGAAUUCCUAGUGUAGCGGUGAAAUGCGUAGAUAUUAGGAGGAACACCAGUGGCGAAGGCGGCCUGCUGGACAUUAACUGACGCUGAGGCGCGAAAGCGUGGGGAGCAAACAGG
rnacentral:rRNA from 2 species